UACGUAGGCGGAUCAGAAAGUAUAGGGUGAAAUCCCAGGGCUCAACCCUGGAACUGCCUUAUAAACUCCUGGUCUUGAGUUCGAGAGAGGUGAGUGGAAUUCCAAGUGUAGAGGUGAAAUUCGUAGAUAUUUGGAGGAACACCAGUGGCGAAGGCGGCUCACUGGCUCGAUACUGACGCUGAGGUACGAAAGUGUGGGGAGCGAACAGGAUUAGAUACCCGAGUAGUCC
rnacentral:rRNA from 1 species